rnacentral:rRNA from 1 species
UACGGAGGGUGCAAGCGUUAAUCGGAAUUACUGGGCGUAAAGCGCACGCAGGCGGUUGGAUAAGUUAGAUGUGAAAGCCCCGGGCUCAACCUGGGAAUUGCCUUUAAAACUGUCCAGCUAGAGUCUUGUAGAGGGGGGUAGAAUUUCAGGUGUAGCGGUGAAAUGCGUAGAGAUCUGGAGGAAUACCGGUGGCGAAGGCGGCCCCCUGGCCAAAGACUGACGCUCAGGUGCGAAAGCGUGGGUAGCAAACAGG